rnacentral:rRNA from 1 species
AAUAGAUACCCCGGUAGUCCUGGCCGUAAACGAUGACCACCAGGUGUGGGAGGUAUCGACCCCUUCUGUGCCAAAGGGAACCCAUUAAGUGGUCCGCCUGGGGAGUACGGUCGCAAGAUUAAAACUCAAAGGAAUUGACGGGGACCCGCACAAGCAGCGGAGCGUGUGGUUUAAUUCGAUGCGACGCGAAGAACCUUACCAGGGUUUGACAUGCAGCUGCACCUCCUGGAGACAGGAGUCCCUUCGGGGCGGCUGCACAGGUGCUGCAUGGCUGCCGUCAGCUCGUGCCGUGAGGUGUUGGGUUAAGUCCCGCAACGAGCGCAACCCCUGUCGUCGGUUAAGCUGUCCGGCGAGACUGCCACGCUAAACGUGGAGGAAGGUGGGGAUGACGUCAAGUCAGCACGGCCCUUACGUCCUGGGCGACACACACGCUACAAUGGGCGAGACAACGGGUAGCCAACCGCGAGGGGAGGCUAAUCCUAGCAAACUCGCUCUCAGUUCGGUAUGGCGAGGCGUGCAACCCGCCCUCGCCGUCG